UACGUAGGCAGCGAGCGUUGUUCGGAAUUACUGGGCGUAAAGAGUGUGUAGGCGGUGCUCCCAGUCUGUUGUGAAAUCUCCCGGCUUAACUGGGAGGGUGCAGCGGAAACUAGAGUGCUAGAGGGUGGGAGAGGUAAGCGGAAUUCCUGGUGUAGCGGUGAAAUGCGUAGAUAUCAGGAGGAACACCUGCGGUGUAGACGGCUUACUGGACCAUAACUGACGCUGAGGCACGAAAGCGUGGGUAGCAAACAGG
rnacentral:rRNA from 1 species